rnacentral:lncRNA from 1 species
AUGAGAUAUUUACAUUCGUCUUCCUUAAAUCUGGACCGUUCAUCGAGUUUGAUCUCGACUGUUCGAUCACGUUUAAAGAAAAAAUGAAUAUGGACCGUUCAUCGCGUUUAAUCUCGAUCGUACGAUCGUGUUUAAAGAGGGAAUGAAUCUGAACUGUUUAUCGCAUUUAAUCGCGAUCGUCCAAUCGUGUCUUAUGAAGAAAUGGAUUCGGAUUGUUCACGCGCGCGGAAACACACCCGAGCUGUCCGAUUACAGGUACGCAGAUUGCCAGCAUGACCUCUCACAUGACACCGAGUCAGCAUACCUUGCCACAUAGUAAGCUCCGAUUCAUCCUACGUGUCACAUUUUUUCUUAAUUGUAUUUUGACCAUCAUUUUUUUAUUUUUCUUUCAAAAAU